rnacentral:rRNA from 1 species
GGCCAGACUCCUACGGGAGGCAGCAGUGGGGAAUAUUGCGCAAUGGGGGAAACCCUGACGCAGCAACGCCGCGUGCGGGAUGAAGGCUUUCGGGUUGUAAACCGCUUUCAGCAGGGAAGAUAAUGACGGUACCUGCAGAAGAAGCCCCGGCUAACUACGUGCCAGCAGCCGCGGUAAUACGUAGGGGGCAAGCGUUAUCCGGAUUCAUUGGGCGUAAAGCGCGCGCAGGCGGGCCGCUAAGCGGGACCUCUAAUCUUGGGGCUCAACCUCAAGCCGGGUCCCGAACUGGCAGCCUCGAGUGCGGUAGGGGUAAGCGGAAUUCCCGGUGUAGCGGUGGAAUGCGCAGAUAUCGGGAAGAACACCGAUGGCGAAGGCAGCUUACUGGGCCGACACUGACGCUGAGGCGCGAAAGCUAGGGGAGCGAACAGGAUUAGAUACCCCAGUA